GACGAACGCUGGCGGCGUGCUUAACACAUGCAAGUCGAACGGACAGGCCCUGCUUUUGUGGGGUGCUCGAGUGGCGAACGGGUGAGUAACACGUGAGUAACCUCCCCUUGACUUUGUGAUAACUUCAGGAAACUGGGGCUCAUACCGGAUAGGAGCUCCUGCUGCAUGGUGGGGGAUGGAAAAUUUCGGCGGUGGGGGAUGGACUCGCGGCUUAUCAGCUUGUUUGUGGGGUAGUGGCUUACGAAGGCUUUGACGGGUAGCCGGCCUGGGAGGGUUACCGGCCACAUUGGGACUGAGGUACGGCCCAGACUCCUACGGGAGGCAGCAGUGGAGAAUAUUGCAGAAUGGGAGGAAGCCUGAUGCAGAGACGCCGCGUGCGGGAUGACGGCCUUCGGGUUAUAAACCGAUUUCGCCGGUGACGAAGCGUGAGUGACGGUAAUGGGUAAAGAAGCACCGGCUAACUACGUG
rnacentral:rRNA from 1 species